rnacentral:rRNA from 1 species
UACUCCUACNGGAGGCAGCAGCUAAGAAUCUUCCGCAAUGGGCGAAAGCCUGACGGAGCGACGCCGCGUGAACGAAGAAGGCCGUGAGGUUGUAAAGUUCUUUUCGGGAGGGGGAAUUACCGUGGCAGGGAAUGGCCGCGGGAUGACGUGAAUCCCGGAACAAGCCCCGGCUAACUACGUGCCAGCAGCCGCGGUAACACGUAGGGGGCGAGCGUUGUUCGGAAUCAUUGGGCGUAAAGGGCGUGCAGGCGGCACUGCAAGUCCGGCGUGAAAGACCCCGGCCCAACCGGGGGGGUGCGCUGGAAACUGCGGUGCUUGAGUACAGGAGGGGAUGCCGGAAUUCCAGGUGUAGGGGUGAAAUCUGUAGAUAUCUGGAAGAACACCGAUGGCGAAGGCAGGCAUCUGGCCAUGUACUGACGCUGAGACGCGAAGGUGCGGGGAGCAAACAGGUUUAGAUACCCUGGUAGUCCGCACAGUAAACGAUGUGCACCAGGUGGCGGGGGUAGAACCCCCGGUACCGUAGCAAACGCAUUAAGUGCACCGCCUGGGGAGUAUGCUCGCAAGGGUGAAACUCAAAGGAAUUGACGGGGGCCCGCACAAGCGGUGGAGCAUGUGGUUUAAUUCGAUGGUACGCGAGAAACCUUACCAGGGCUUGACAUACACCGGAAGCGCCGUGAAAGCGGCGUGCCGCUUGCGGCCGGUGAACAGGUGCUGCAUGGCUGUCGUCAGCUCGUGCUGUGAAGUGUUGGGUUAAGUCCCG